rnacentral:rRNA from 1 species
AUUGAACGCUGGAGGCAGGUGUAACACAUGCAAGCCGAACGAGUGGCGGACGGGUGAGUAAUGUCCGGGCAACUGCCAGAUAGAGGGCGAUGACCACGGGAAACGGUAGCUAAUACCGCAUCCCAUCGGACGUGCCCAGAUGUGAUUCGCUAGUCGGUGGGGUAAAGGCUCCCCUAGGCGACGAUCCCUAGCUGGUCUGAGAGGAUGACCAGCCACACUGGAACUGGUACACGGUCCAUACUCCUACGGGAGGCAGCAGUGGGGAAUAUUGCACAAUGGGCGCAAGCCUGAUGCAGCCAUGCCGCGUGUAUGAAGAAGGCCUUCGGGUUGUAAAGUACUUUCAGCGGGGAGGCGUUACCCGCAGAAGAAGCACCGGCUAACUCCGUGCCAGCAGCCGCGGUAAUUC